GCUCCCUUCGUCUAAUGGUUAGGACGUCAGGUUUUCAACCUGAAAACAGGGGUUCAAUUCCCCUAGGGAGUACCA
rnacentral:tRNA from 1 species